GGCUAGCAAAUGAUGAGAGCAGAGCCCAUAUCAAGCUCUUAAGCAUCCUCCUCUUGGGCCUUCCAGAAUUGCCCUUUUUGUCUGAUGCUGCAUUGACCUUUUCGUCUGAUGCUGGCU
rnacentral:snoRNA from 1 species